UGUUGGUUUUAGUGUCUUGUGCUGUACUGCUGCCCGCUGGCCAGGCGUACACAUGCUCAUAUGGGAGUUACGGUAACUUGCCAGGAGUAGAAAUCGGCGCAAAAAUCGAUUUACCCACAGUCUACAUACCGAAGCAUCAAACCCACACCGUUCUGGACAUUAAAAAUAAUUAUGGUGACAACUGCACGCCCAUCGGUAUACAAGUAAGCAAUUGCGAGCUGGGCGACGACUCUCCCAUCUCCGUGGUGGAGGUGACUUCUCCUGUUGACGUGAAGAUCGUCCGAUUUAGCAGCACCAGAGGCUCCUUUGCUAGGGCCACCGUGCUUUGUCAGAAAAACUGUCCUUAAAUAGAUUAUAAUUGGACUUCUUCACAAUGGGCAGCGUUGGUCUAACUAUAACAAAUGAUCGUGGAUGGUUACCGCAAUUACGGCGAUUAUGAAUAAACAUCUACAUUGACGGCCGAUCAUAGACAUUUAGACUCUAUACACUAUCGUAAAUGCAUCUACUCGCCCAACUCUGUCCAUUGUGAAGAGGGCCCAUUAGGUAAGACAUACAUUA